rnacentral:rRNA from 1 species
GAUGAACGCUGGCGGCGUGCCUAAUACAUGCAAGUCGAGCGAACAGACGAGGAGCUUGCUCCUCUGACGUUAGCGGCGGACGGGUGAGUAACACGUGGAUAACCUACCUAUAAGACUGGGAUAACUUCGGGAAACCGGAGCUAAUACCGGAUAAUAUAUUGAACCGCAUGGUUCAAUAGUGAAAGACGGUUUUGCUGUCACUUAUAGAUGGAUCCGCGCCGCAUUAGCUAGUUGGUAAGGUAACGGCUUACCAAGGCAACGAUGCGUAGCCGACCUGAUAGGGUGCUCGGCCACACUGGAACUUAGACACGGUCCAUACUCCUACGGGAGGCAGCAGUAGGGAAUCUUCCGCAAUGGGCGAAAGCCUGACGGAGCAACGCCGCGUGAGUGAUGAAGGUCUUCGGAUCGUAAAACUCUGUUAUUAGGGAAGAACAAAUGUGUAAGUAACUAUGCACGUCUUGACGGUACCUAAUCAGAAAGCCACGGCUAACUACGUG